rnacentral:rRNA from 1 species
GACGAACGCUGGCGGCGUGCUUAACACAUGCAAGUCGAACGGUGAAGCGCUUGCCUUUUUGGUGGGUGUGGAUGAGUGGCGAACGGGUGAGUAACACGUGAGUAACCUGCCCUCUUCUUCUGGAUAACCUCAUGAAAGUGGGGCUAAUACGGGGUAUUCCGGGUCUGUCGCAUGGCGGGUUUGGGAAAGAUUGCGCCUUUGGGUGUUUUCGGUGGGGGAUGGGCUCGCGGCCUAUCAGCUUGUUGGUGGGGUGAUGGCCUACCAAGGCGGUGACGGGUAGCCGGCCUGAGAGGGUGGACGGCCACACUGGGACUGAGACACGGCCCAGACGCCUGCGGGGGGCAGCAGUGGGGAAUAUUGCACAAUGGGCGCAAGCCUGAUGCAGCGACGCCGCGUGAGGGAUGGAGGCCUUCGGGUUGUGAACCUCUUUCGCCAGUGAAGCAGGCCUGCUCCUGUGUGGGUGGGUUGACGGUAGCUGGAUAAGAAGCGCCGGCUAACUACGUG